ensembl:lncRNA LINC02471 long intergenic non-protein coding RNA 2471
GGCUGCUCUCAAACUCCUGACUUCGUAAUCCAUCCGCCUCGGCCUCACAAAGUGCUGGGAUUACAGGCGAAUAAACUGUACUGAGCCACAGCGCCCGGCCAGGAUCUGAUGAUUUUAUAAGGGGCUUCCCCCUGCGCUUCGCACUCACUCCGUCCUGCCGCCCUGUGAAGAAAGAGCCUGCUUCUCCUUUGCCUUCUGCCAUGAUUGUGGCUAGUCACGGUGGCUCAUGCCUGUAAUCCUCAUCACUUUGGUAGGCCGAGAUGAAAAGACUGCAAGGAGUUAAUGACCAGCCUGGACAACAUAGCGAGACCCCAUCUCAAGAAAAUAUUCCCAGGUAAAUCCAAAUCGAUUUCUUUUAGACAACUGUGGUAUAGAAUUGUGACUAGUGUAUUAUUUUAUGAUCUCUUUUGUUACAUCCUUAGUGUCCAAUAGGAUUUUUGUUGCGUUUGCUUUAUAUCUGAAAUUCUGCAUUUUAAUUCAGCUACACAAAUAAUGCAUCUUUUCAACAAAACUCAGAUACAAAUAAUGUUCUAAUAUUGUUAUUUAUUUCCAUACAGCAUUAAUCUCUAGUAAGUCUAACUUCGCAAUCUCUUUUCUCACUUUUCAAUACACCUCUAGCUUCCAAUUGUUUUGCCUAGAGACUUUAAGGCCUAUGACUGCCAGAAUGAAAGAUUGUUACCUCUUUUCCCUUGCUUAUUAAGGUAGGAGGCCAUGAUGACGCACUUUUCUCAAUCUCUUGGCUUUAAAUGGAUCUUACCUUGGGAGAGUUACAGUGAAGGCAUGAGUAAUUGCGAUUUAAAGUUUUGCUUCUGUGUCAUACAACAAUGCUGCAUCAUGAAAUGUUGAGUCUUGUCUCUUUUCCUGGCAGAUGGCCAGAGGGUGUGAUGGCUCCUACCUGACUGAUACAAUUGAAAUCAAAGACUUGCCAAGUUAUACCAGCAACUCCAGCAAAACUGUGAACUUACUGGCCUUGGAGGACUAUGGAUUGAAACACACAAAACAUCUUUGGCUGUGCAUGCCCUUCACACUGGCUGCCUAGUCCCCUCACAGAAGAUUGUACCAUGUGGUAGUUGGCGUAAGAAACCAUUGUGUAUAUGAAUUUUGUCAUGAGGACCUAGUGGUCAGCACUCUUGCACAUUACAGAACAAGGAAAAUAUAGUAUUUAUAAACUCUUCAGCAGUCCCUAUUAGGGAGCCCAAAUUCAAU